AUCAGAGGACAACUUGUCAGAGCUGGCUCUCUCUUCUUCUACCCUGUGGAUCCUAGGAAUUGAACUCUGAUUAGGCUUGGUUACAGACGCCUUUAUCCUCUGGGCCAUCUCUCAGGCCCUGUUGAUUUUUAAAGGGUGACUCAGCUCAUAUUAAAAUACGUAGCCAGAAAGGCAGAGCACGUGUUGAAGUACUUUCUGUCAGUGCACUAUACACACCCACAGAUGGGAAGGACCAGCUUGCUUAAUUCCGAAGUCUAGGCGUGAGACAAAGAAGUCAAGCACACAGGAGAGGAGGGGACUGAUGCUUUCCUAGACACUUCCUCCUGAGGCUCCUUCAUAGGACCAAAAGAAGCUCGAAUACUGGUGCGAAUGGGUGUACAGGAAUACAGGAAUAUAGGCCUUCCUCAUGGUUUCUUAGGUAAGUUAAAACUGCAACCAUCAAGAAUACAAAAAAAGACUGCUUGUCUUUUAUUCAAGACUGAUUAGUGAAUGCCAGACUGCCAAUAACAGGUCUAGAACAACCUCGGAAGACAUCUGGUCCAGAUCAGAAGAAGACAGUCCUGGAUAGAGCCACUCACUCAAUCAACACAAACUCCCAAAAGGUUUUGAUAAUCUCCAGUGGACGCACUAGAUGGGCAGACAGCAUCCCAGCGGGUCUGCGAAUCCUUUAAGCAAUGCAAACUACACAAAGCAUAUGCAGAGUACUUCCCUGCCAGACUUUAGUCCAAGGGAGCGAACUACAAAACACAGGCUUAACUGCUGCGCAGGAUGACACACACCUGUAACCCCAGCACUUGGGAGGUGGAAGCUGAAGAAUCAAAGAGUUCAGGGCUAUCACACGGGGCUGCACAGUCUGUGGCCGGCUGGGGCUAUGUGAAGCUUUGUGUUGAAAGAAAAGGAGAGGAGGGGAGGGGAGGGGAGGGAGGGAGAUCACGAUUUAACAGUAUUGUAAUUAUACUAAGUAUGUAGUUGCCCAGAAGUGCUCCUUCAGGGUGGGUGACAGGUAUGAGCACUUUGAGGAUGCAUCUCUGCCCUCCCAUGUGCUGGCCUAGGAGGAUAUACUGCUUCUGGCAAAGUGCUAGGGUGGAAGGUUCUCAGAGCCAGGUGUGGAAAGCCCACAGCACACCAGCCUGCCACGCACCCUUAUCUUGGUGACCCAAUACCCACUGUUCCAAGAAGACAAUUCUAGUUCCCUUGGUGGUCAAUAGUCUGGGCUCUUCUGUGAUCAUCCGGUCUGAUCAUAGCAGUCCACAGGGUGGCCAUCCCCAAGGUCCUUGGCUCCAGGCACAGUCUGGCCAAGGCCAGGGUACAUUUUUAACAACACCAUGCUAAUCCUUGCAGCAGAGCUGGGGGUGCUAACCACCGCUCCAGAACGAGGCUGACCACCGACUGAGCACUUCCUGUGUCAUCCUGCUUCCAUUCCGACAGCAGCAGAGUCAGGCAGGAAGGGUCCUUGCUUCCUGUUUCCGGUAGGAGGGAAGCAAAGGCCCCCCACAGCCCAGCACUUGCCAGAGGUGACUCAGCAGAAGCCAGAAGAAGGAAUCAGACCCCCUGGAAUUGGAGUUACAGAUAGUUGUGAGCUGCCACAACUCAAGUGGGAAUGACCCAGUGAGGAAGGAACAGGGGCACAGCUUGCCCUGGUCACACGAUGAAAAGACCCACGCUGGCCAAAGGAUGUGUUCCUCAAGUGGUGGUGAGCACACCACCCCUGGAUAUGGUCAAGCAGAAGCCAGCUGGCCCCUCUGAGGAGUGCAUUGGGGAGAACUCUGAUGUUGAAGACGUAUGGGCACGGGAGAUGAGUGCAAGAUCUCCAGGACCCCUUCCAGCUCGAAGAUCUCAUGUGUAAUAUCUCUCUCUCUUCAUCUGGCAACUGGGUAAUCCCUUAAAAAAGCAAACGUUUGUUUUCCUAACCUUUCAUUUGUCCUCCAAUACAAGCAUCACAACAAAGCCCAUAAAAUUACAAAUUUGAUGCAGAAAGUCCUAUUUUUCUGGGAAUCAGUAUGAUGAUUAUCUUUAUUAAAAUAAAAAAUGUUCAUGAAGCACCUAAAAAUCACCUUGUCACCCUGAGGCACAUGGGAAGGCACUGAUCUCAGGGGAGUAGCUGAUCUCUACAAUCCUUUCCGUUCUAAGGGUUGGUCAUCUGCAGUUUAAAUCCUUAUCUUGGAGGGGCGUUGGAAAGAUGACGAGCCCUCUGUAAGAAGUCGCUUGAUUGAGUCUCCUCACACCUCUGUCUUACUCAGGAAACCCCACUGCUGUUGCUAGAAAUGAAGGAAACAGUCCAGAAUGGCAAGACGGAAAGCAAAAUGCCUCUCAGUUCUCUGUAGUAUCACAAGGGGCUCUGGGGGUUCCAAGGCCUACAUCCUCACAGCAUCAGGUCCAAUGGGAUGAGGUAGUUCAAGUGUAACAGUCCAUCUCACUUUGGUGUGGACUAGUCCGAAACCAGUUCUUCCAUUUUCACGCCCCCCCCCCCCUUUUUUGAUAACCCACUAAGUCCAGUUAAUGCAUCUGUAAAGAAUGAUUCUCCCGAGGGCAGUGGUGGCACACGUCUUUAAUCCUAGCACACGGGAGGCAGAGGCAGGUGGAUCUCUGUGAGUUCAAGGCCAGCCUGGUUUAUAGCAUAUUGAGGCUCUUCUCUUUUCUUCAGCAGACUCUUGAAUCCAGUGGCUAUCGUUUACUACAUUUCAUUUUCUGGUUAUUAAAUCUGGCAGCGUUGCGGGCAAAAAAGAAAGCAGUAUUUUGGCCACUGUUACUGAACAAUUCACAGGGAUGGACGGCACGGCUGAACACAGAUCUGACUGGCUUCCUCCCAGUCAUCAUCAGCCAGACCAGCUCUCCUCACAGCAGUCACGUACAGUAAUCUACCUUUAGCCUCUGGCAGUCGGAGCCUGGCCAUGCUCACCCCCUUCUUUGCAGUCUGCUUAGGUCCCAUGUGCUCAGGUCACUUGCACAGUUCUGAACUAAACAGAGGAGUGGGGGGCUGAGCAGUUUAGAUCAAUGAAUCCUAUCAGGAGGAGAGGAUGGGUCAAGCCCAUUUCAACUUGGAGGCUAAGAACAGCGAAGCCGGUCAUUCCCAGAGUUGUUCCCAGGAGUGGGAGCAUGCCGAGUGGCCAGCAGCAGGCUUUACUAGGCCCUUCAAUGUCAUUUACCAGUCCAAGCUUCGCAGACUCACGACUCCUCUUUGGAGUUAAAAGGCAAUGUAGGAGAUCAUGGAAUCAUCGAAAGCAUUUUUGGUCUAAGUCACUGAACUUCAAACACAGCACCUUUAGAUAGGCUAAAACACUUGGUAAUUAACUUGCUUCCCCUCCCACCGCUAAGGACACAAGCUGGUCAGGAGAAAGAACUGCCUUUAAAAGAAUCAACUCAAACCUUACAACUGCUUCUUGUCACCUAGGAAGGCAAGAACGGAACACCUGGGUUAGCCUUCCCUGUGACUGUCCAAACACAGGCCAGCCACACAGCAGCUUCUGUAGAGUCACUACCUGGAAGACUGGAUACCCACCCUCUUGGCAUUCUUCACCACCUCCAGCUUCCCGUUCCCAGUGCUUAGAAGUUUUGACUGUGAGGGUCCAAAUGUGGCAGAAACUAUUAGAGGCUUCUAAGCAGCAGCAGCUGCAGAGGCCAGGGAUGUUGGCUGAACAACUGACCAACCUUUCCAGAGAGAGCUCUGAAGCAGAGAACUUGAAAACACACCUCCCAGUCUGUCAGGAACAUGGAAAAGGCUGCUGUCUCACACUGGCGAAGGCUUUAACGCACAGACUCCCAGCAUCUGGUCAGCUAGCCCCCAUACUUCAAAACACAGACACUGGAUUCUCCUGUUCUUUAGGAACACAGAGCACCAGUCAACAGGAAGACCACAGGGCUCUAGGAAAACAAGACACUACUGAGCUCCAGGGACAUCUCUGCACCGCAGAUUUACACCAUAUGGACUUAAAUCAGAACCCAUGCUCGAGGAGCCAAAAGAAAUCAAGAUACCAAGAGGUGGAUUGUGACAAUUUCUUCUAACAGAAAAAUAUAACUAGAAUGAUAAACAGAAACCCAAGAGAAACUUGAGUUUUCUGAAAUAAAAAUGUGAAAUUGCCAUGUAAUAGUUUCUGCAUCUCUCGAGGGAGAUAGGAAGCUUGCUUUUAAAAAUAAAAACCAUAUUGGUUGGUUUCCUUCUUGGGUGCAUGUCAGAGUAUGAACCUUUGUCUCCAGUCUAGGAAAUGAACACUCACACAUUUUGCAAGACCUUUCUUUUGUCUGCCCUGGUGUCUUUAUGGAUUUCCUUCAACCAUUUAAUGUCUACUUUUGAACCUUUCUCAAGAAUUCCAAAAGGUCAUGAAAUUAUGGUAUCUCCCACGUAGCUGCAAUAGUUCCCACCAAACUCUGCCCUUCAAGCCUGUCCCAUAUAAAAGUCAUGGCCAGUUAUAGGUGGAUGCACCAGCAGGCCGAACACAUGGUUCUUCUAAUGUUCAGUAUGCUAACACACCAGUCAGCGAUAGUUAUUCUUGUAUGCAUGUGUCCUUUCCACGUGGGUCCACGGACCAGGCAGUCUUGGAUAGUCACGCAACCUUGGGUCUGCUUUGACAGCUCUGAGCUGCACUUAGUUCAGCUGUGGGCAAUUCAGAGGAGACAAUGACAAAGACCAGAUGCCAAUGUUGGAGCCCAUCAAAGAAACUGGCGGAAACAUAAACAGCUAACAGAGGUCACUGAAGAUUCUAUGUUCAAACCAGCAAGGACUUAGAGUAGCAUGAAUAAAAGGCACAAAAUAGCUGCUAAGGAUACUGGGAGAAAUGGAGAAAAUUGGACUAAUAAAUUAUGAAUAACCCUCUUUAAAAAAAUAAUGUGGAGCUGGGUGGUGGUGGCACACACCUUUAAUUCCAGCACUUGGGAGGCAGAGCCAGGUGGAUCUUUGAGUUCAAGGCCAGCCUGGUCUACAGAGCGAGAUCCAGGAAAGGCACAAAGCUACACAGAGAAACCCUGUCUCGAAAAACAAACAAACAAAAAAUGUGGUUAGUUGGGUGUGAUAGCAUGUAUCUACCAUCCAAGCACUUGGGAGGUGGAGGCAGAAGGAUCAAGUAGGUGCUCAAGGUCAUCCUUGGCUACACAGUGAAUCUGAGGCUAGCCUAGGAUACAGAGAUCCUGUCUUUAAAAAGAAAAAACAAAACAAAAAACCAACCAAAACCAAGUUUAUGGAUUAGAGCAGCUCUCAGACCUCAUCAGAGUUUUCUUGUGAAGCAGAGGGAACAAAUGUCUGUGGAACUGUUAAGCCACCACUGAGCCACAGUAACUUGAAACACAGGAUUGCAGAUAGCCUCUGUAGGCUGACGGUUAAGGAGGACGCGACCUAGGACGCCCAGCUUGGCUUGCCUUGAACGCUGGCUCACUUACUCUAAGCGGUCUGAGCAUAAUCCUCAAUUAUGCUGGACCUGUUUCCUCCUCCAUCUGAUGAUGGCAUUAUAUUUAAGUGACUCUAGAGCUCCCAAGUAAAGCAUCACAGCAAGGAAUGAAAAGAGAAAAGGGGGACUGGAGCCUUGACUUUAGUCACCAAGAGUAUGAAAGGAAAAGUAGGCUCAUACAGCUGGCUUGUCAAAGGCUAAAAGAUGUGCGUGCCUGUGUGUGUAUGUGUGUGUUUGUGCGUGAGUGGGCACAUGCACGCAAACCAGAGGAUAACUUUGUUUCUUAGGUGCUGUCCACCUUCAUUUUGAGAUAGCGUUUCUCACUGACUUUGAACUCACAGAGUAAGCUAGGCCAUGUUGGCUGGCUAGAAAGCCCCGAUGGUCACUCUGUCUGUCUAUACUGUUCUGAUGUUGGGACUACAACCUGGCAGCUGUUGCUUUCCCUUUUCUAAAUGUGGGUUCUGGGGUUCAAAUUUAGGUCCUUGUGCUUGUAAAUUUUGUGUGUUGUAAUUAUGCUAUUAAUCCUAUAUGUUAUGAUUAGCAAUUAUGAAAAGCCGUAUUUUGUCUUUGAAACCAUUGUUUAAAAAAUGA